CCUACGGGCGGCAGCAGUGAGGAAUAUUGGUCAAUGGACGAGAGUCUGAACCAGCCAAGUAGCGUGAAGGAUGACUGCCCUUUGGGUUGUAAACUUCUUUUAUAUGGGAAUAAAACGUUCCACGUGUGGGAUUUUGUAUGUACCAUAUGAAUAAGGAUCGGCUAACUCCGUGCCAGCAGCCGCGGUAAUACGGAGGAUCCGAGCGUUAUCCGGAUUUAUUGGGUUUAAAGGGAGCGUAGGUGGAUUGUUAAGUCAGUUGUGAAAGUUUGCGGCUCAACCGUAAAAUUGCAGUUGAAACUGGCAGUCUUGAGUACAGUAGAGGUGGGCGGAAUUCGUGGUGUAGCGGUGAAAUGCUUAGAUAUCACGAAGAACUCCGAUUGCGAAGGCAGUUCACUGGACUGCAACUGACACUGAGGCUCGAAAGUGUGGGUAUCAAACAGGAUUAGAUACCCGAGUAGUC
rnacentral:rRNA from 1 species